rnacentral:lncRNA from 1 species
AUAUGUGAUUGGUAAUUAAAAACCCAUGUUUUGUUACAUAUGAAAAUGUUGGGUUAUAUAGGUCGAACGGGUCAAAUGGUGGGAACAACGCCAUUUGACAAUAUCAACUAAUGUGGUUGUCAAGUCAUGUGUUUUCAGGGGCGAAUAGUAAUUUGGGUAAUUGCGUCGCCAUAAGAAUAUCGAUAAUGAAAGCAAGGAGUCGAAACGGAUCAUUAGGUUGACUCGAGCCAGGUGAAUGUCGAGAGUCCCGGAUGAAGAUCAAGCAUCGAACAAGAACCGAACACACGUUAAACAAAGCUUCCGCAACGUUAUUUUGUCGUUAUUCUAAACGGCGAAUUAAAUCACAUUAUGUAUAUCACUUAAAUUGUAAAAGUUUUUAACAACCCGUAUUUCUAAUGUAUAUGUAAUUAUUAAUUACAUGAUUAUUUCGCUAAAUAUACGUUAAACCUUGAUUUAUAAGAACGGGUGUUACAAGUUGGUAAUCAGAGCUCAAGGUGAAAAAAAUAAAGUGUUCGGUUCAAGGCUUGAUCGCAAAUCCGGUAGGACACUCGCGUUUGAAGACGACGAGAGUCAAACAAAUUGUGGAUAUGAUGAUGGAACGGUCUGAAGUAUGACAAGAGGAGCAUGCUCACCGAGGACUAAAUCGCGUAACGACCGCGAACAAGGUUAAUGGCAAGGAACGCCCGUCGGGGCAAACAUUACCAGAACCAGGAGGGGGCGACCAGGGGUUUCUCCACAAACCCUAAUUCUCACAAAAUCCUUCAAAUUGAAGCUCAAAUCAAGCCCGAAUCGUCUGCAUGAUUACAAAUUCGUGAUCUCCAUUGAAAGGGGAGUCAUAAGUUUGACUCUUGACGAGCUAGGUGAAGCUUGGAGGAGAAGAUCAAACGGGAUAAAGGAACGAAUAAGACUUGCUUGGAUGAAAGGGGCGAAUAGUAAUUUGGGUAAUUGCGUCGCCAUAAGAAUAUCGAUAAUGAAAGCAAGGAGUCGAAACGGGUCAUUAGGUUGACUCGAGCCAGGUGAAUGUCGAGAGUCCCGGAUGAAGAUCAAGCAUCGAACAAGAACCGAACACACGUUAAACAAAGCUUCCCCAACGUUAUUUUGUCGUUAUUCUAAACGGCGAAUUAAAUCACAUUAUGUAUAUCACUUA